GGCCCAUUAGCUCAGUUGGUUAGAGCGUCGUGCUAAUAACUCGAAGGUCAUGGUUUCAAUCCCCCCAUAGGCCA